CGACCACGACCCUCCCGUCUCAAACUCCCUCAUGGCCGCCAUAAAACGCUCUCAGGCCAACCAGCGGCGCCACCCUGACAACUUCCACUUCUCCCAAGGGUAAACACAUUUAAAACUCAAGCUCAGCACCUACUAAUAAGUUAAGUUGGUAAGAAGUUCAUCUAUCUUGCUAAAAAUGAUCUACUAUAUAACUAUUAUUAUACUUUCUUAAAUUUUGAUUUAGGUCUUACUCACCAUUAGAUCGGGGUUGCCAGAAGCAACAGCAACAGCAACAGCCGUUUUCUGUUUCCUCUGUCAAAGUAGAGCUUCAGCAUUUGAUCUUGUCAAUCCUAGACGACCCGGUUGUCAGUCGCGUUUUCGCCGAAGCCGGUUUCCGGAGCU
rnacentral:lncRNA from 1 species